rnacentral:pre_miRNA from 1 species
AGAUUUUUGUGGAAGUCAAACUUUGCCAACUUUGACCAAGUGUAUAGAGAAAACAGUCCACAUCUACAAUACCAAACAUGUACAUUCUGAAAAUAUAACUCAUGAUGUAUCUAAUGAUGUGCAUUUGGUAUUCUAGAUGUACCUACUUUUCUCUAUAAAUAUGGUCAAACUUUGUAAUGUUUGACUUUUACAAAAAUCUA